rnacentral:rRNA from 1 species
CAGCCGCCGCGGUAAUACAGAGGGUGCGAGCGUUAAUCGGAAUUACUGGGCGUAAAGCGUGCGCAGGCGGUUUUGUAAGACAGGCGUGAAAUCCCCGGGCUCAACCUGGGAAUGGCGCUUGUGACUGCAAAGCUAGAGUGCGGCAGAGGGGGAUGGAAUUCCGCGUGUAGCAGUGAAAUGCGUAGAUAUGCGGAGGAACACCGAUGGCGAAGGCAAUCCCCUGGGCCUGCACUGACGCUCAUGCACGAAAGCGUGAGGAGCAAACAGGAUUAGAUACCCGGGUAGUCCCUGUCUCUUAUAC